ensembl:snRNA U6 U6 spliceosomal RNA
UUUUUAGCUCUACUGAAAACAGCUUAAAAAUUGGAAUGAUAAGAAAAGAUUAACAUGGGCCCUGCACAAGGAUGUGACACAAAUUCGUGAAGCAUUCUAUAUUUUA